AUUGAACGCUGGCGGCAGGCCUAACACAUGCAAGUCGAACGCGUGGCGGACGGGUGCGUAAUGUAUGGGAAACCGCCUGAUGGAGGGGUAUAACUACUGGCAACGGUAGAUAAUCACACAUACCAUCGGAUGUGCCCAGAUGGGGUUCGCUAGUAGGUGGGGUAAAGGCUCACCUAGGCGACGCUCCCUAGCUGGGAUGAGAGGAGAACCAGCCACACUGGAACUGAGACACGGUACAGACUCCUACGGGAGGCAGCAGUGGGGAAUAUUGCACAAUUGGCGCAAGCCUGAUGCAGCCAUGCCGCGUGUAUGAAGAAGGCCUUCGGGUUGUAAAGUACUUUCAGCGGGGAGGCGUUACCCGCAGAAGAAGCACCGGCUAACUCCGUGCCAGCAGCCGCGGUAAUUC
rnacentral:rRNA from 1 species